rnacentral:rRNA from 1 species
UACGUAGGGGGCAAGCGUUGUCCGGAUUUAUUGGGCGUAAAGAGCGUGUAGGCGCCAGACAAGUCUGCUGUGAAAACUCGAGGCUCAACCUCGAGCUGUCGGUGGAAACUGUCUGGCUAGAGUCCGGAAGAGGAGAGUGGAAUUCCUGGUGUAGCGGUGAAAUGCGCAGAUAUCAGGAAGAACACCUAUGGCGAAGGCAGCUCUCUGGGACGGUACUGACGCUGAGACGCGAAAGCGUGGGGAGCGAACAGGAUUGAGACUAC